rnacentral:pre_miRNA from 1 species
CGUAAACCGGUCCGACAGUGAAUGGCACUGGUAGAAUUCACGGUGUAAACCUUGUGUUCCGUGGUCUUCCGGUGUCAUACAUUGUUAGUCGGAAGUCAGCU